UGGGAGGCUGAGGUGGGAGGAUCACUUCAGUUUAAGAGUUUGGGUCCAGCCUAGGAAACACAGUGAGACUCUUGUCUUUAAAAAAAAAAAAAAAAAGCCCAUUAAGGUGUAUUUAGCAGUUUUACAUGUAUCCUCUUUAUUUACCUUCAUUUUGUGUGUAUAUGCACACUUUGGAUUUUAAUUUUGUCCAGGGACACUCCUGUCCAUAUCAUACAGUUAUGGAAUAUCACAGCCUGUAGACCAGAUCAUCUAGUCUUCUCGUAUAGGGGAGGACUCUGUGUUCCAAGGAAGGUAAAUGGUUUAUUCAACAUGCCUAGAGAUUGCUGGACUGAUGUUCUCUUUCUCGUCUACUGGUAAUCCUUUUCCUGUUUAGACUGGAUUCUUUUUGACAAGAUUUUUUUUUAAUUGUUACAUAGCACAAAGGAAGUAAGACAAAAACUCUGUUUAAUUUUAUAGGUAACUGAGUGACUUGUAUUUUAUCUGAGUUUUAUCAACUUAGUCAUAAACUAUCUAUUUAAGUAGAUUGCACUAAUGAUUGCCAAAAAGAACAAAUGGAGGAGGGGUGUGACUAUGACACUUAAACAAUAACAACAAAUAUAUUAACUUUGUCCUUUUUGUUUACUUUCAGCAACUAGUAAAUCUCUUUGCUCGAUUGGCUACAGAUAAUAUAGGGUACAUAGAUUGGGAUCCAUAUGUACCAAAGGUAAUUAACAUUUUGGGGAAAAAAAUUAU
rnacentral:lncRNA from 10 species